GUUGUCCUCCCCAGACUCCAAAUUCUUCCUGGAGGUCUGUUUGGAUGGUACAUAGACCUAAAGGUUUGUCCAUAUGGUGUCACAUUGAAAUCAAUGGGAAUUUUUGGGAGUCUAAUGGCCAAACCAAGAGAAUGUCUGCAGAUGGAUUUUCACCAGAGAACUUGUUAGACCUAUAUACCACACAGCAUUUAUAUAUCACAUCAUUAUUAUGGUUUGGACCUUUUUAUACUAUCAUCUUCUUAUGGUUCUUUUCUGUUUACAGCCAGACCUGGUUAAAGCAUAGGAAACAAUGAUAAGGAAAAGGACUGUUGCUAUUAUCAGAGGAAAGGACAAGGAAUAUUUCUGCAAAACUUUUCUAGUAUUAAAUAGCUGUAAUAAUGAAGGAAAUGUAUCAGUAUGGAAAAGAAUGAGGGGUCAAGAUGAAAAGGUGGCAUUAUGAAAGGAGUGACAGGGAAGCAAUACGAUACACAGGAAGCAAUACACUACAGAAAGCAAUACACUACAGAAAGCAAUACAGUAAUCAGAAGAAAAUGUUACAAGAAACUGGGGAAACCAGGAAGCAUAAGAAGAAAUUAAAAUAUAUAUUAGUAUGGAUCAAUCAGUAGGUACAGGUAGAAUUAAGGGUAGGGAGGGUUAGAAAGAGUGAAGUCAGAAGAUAUGGCAGAGUAUUAAAAAUGUGAGGAAAAAAAUGAGAAAAUGUGAAUAUUGUCAAUACUAAGAACUCCAAAACAUGGACAGAUUUUAGAAAAAAAAGCUCUUUUUAAAAGGCAGGUAGAUUGGAGAGGGUGUAUUUGAAAUACCUAAAGUGACUCAGUAGGAAUUCAGCCAAGGAUAAGUAGCUAAACUAAUUAUUCAGAGAAGAAAGAAAGCUCCUCCCAAAACAGGCCCAAGUGCUCAACAAAGGCUUUUUGUUGUUAUUUUUCUUGUUCCUUGUUGUACUAGAGCUAAUGAAUUGAGCUCUGCUGGAUUAGUAGUGGCUCAUUCUCAAGCAUUGGUCUCAGCCACCACAGAGUGGCCUAUGUCCAUAGCAUUAAAUAGCCUUUACCUGCAAAACCAAGUGGCUGCAUGUAGUCAGCAUUCUUUGAACGGUUCCUGGCCAUGUCAACACCCUAAUAGAGCUUGGGACUUGUCUGGGAGGUGUUAGCUGUGCUGGGCAACAUUUGAGUGUUAUUAUGCCUGGAAAUAUUCCAGGAUCUAGAUAGAUUUUCUCCUAGGGAAUUAAGGAUGGAACCUGCAUUCAUACCACAGGCUCUGGCAUUGCUUUCCAUGUCUUGAUUCAUGCUCUGCUCUACUAUGUCUUGAAAGCAGCAUCCAGUAGGAGAAGCCUGGGCUGGACAGUCUCCAUCAGGUCUCUCAAUCCCCGUACUUUGGCAACCAAAGGGCAAGGAUGUCCUGAAGGUGUCAUAAAUCCCAAAGGAGUGCUCUGGAGGUGACCUGGGAAGUUCUAGAGUUUCCAAAAAGAUCAGAUUUUCUCCUCCAAGACCUAUUUUCAUGGGGAAUCUAGAGUCCAGUUACAGAGUUAUGAAGAUGUAUAUAGCAACAGUAUCCAUGAAGCUUAGACUUUUUUCAUCCAAAGGAGAUACACCAGAAGACUCCAGUGGCACAACAAAUACCCUCCAGCUGCACGUGAAUUUACAGCCCAGGAGCCAGACCAGAGAUGCUGUGAGCUAAUGAAACUCAUGAAUGCCUGUCUACACUUCCAGACAUAACCUUUGGAUUUGGUACCAGAUAUUGUACUUUUUGAAAUCCUUGGCUCCCCACUACUGUCAUUCAUUCUGGAGUCAUGACUGGAUACCAAGAGGAGCUGUGUGGCCCCAAGGUGCACAUGGCACUUGGACUUACAGUGUCUGAGAUUGGUCACACUGAAGUCCAAGGGCUACCCCUGAUUACAUGGUUGGAAGGGCAGCAACAACAAGGAAAGAAACAAAAAGCUCUUCUGGGAAAGACAAAUGCAGCAUUAAAAACGUGAUCUGUGUGUCUGUGUUCAUAUGUGUAUGUGUGAGAGCUGGUCUAGUGGAAGGUGUCUGUGCCUGUGGCAGGGGGA